rnacentral:rRNA from 1 species
CAGUCGCCACGGGAAUACAAAGGGUACGAGCGUUAAUCGGAUUUACUGGGCGUAAAGCGUGCGUAGGCGGCUUCUUAAGUCGGAUGUGAAAUCCCUGAGCUUAACUUAGGAAUUGCAUUCGAUACUGGGAAGCUAGAGUAUGGGAGAGGAUGGUAGAAUUCCAGGUGUAGCGGUGAAAUGCGUAGAGAUCUGGAGGAAUACCGAUGGCGAAGGCAGCCAUCUGGCCUAAUACUGACGCUGAGGUACGAAAGCAUGGGGAGCAAACAGGAUUAGAUACCCCUGUAGUCCCUGUCUCUUAUAC